ensembl:lncRNA
UUGUACAGUAAAAUAUUUCAAUAUCAAUAAUCACCUGCUCCUAAGCUGUACCACAUAAGAGUCUUAGAUCAAGGAGUAACUGGAGGCAAUCUUUUGCUGAUGAAGGAAAAAUAGCAACUUCAUGGGAGGAGGUCCUCAGAAGCUUAAACAUUGAAAUUUACUCCCACACAAGGGAACACUUAGAACACAUUUAUGAAGAGUCUUCUGUCUUCUGGCCUUGCACCUUGGUUACCUGAGUCCAUAGGCAACCAGAUGAGGCUUUUCUUUUUGACAUGAAUAUCUGUGGAAACUUCAAAAUUAUAAGUGUUUCAUCUGAAAUUGUAUCCAGAAAGACUGAGAGUCAAGCAAUAAUUUCGUCCAAAUAUGGCAGGAGAAAAUAACCUGCUAAUAUACCAUAUUAUAAGAUGACAUGGUCACUCAUUCCUAUUUCUUUUUAACACCUAUGUAGAUAUGUGAGAAGGACAGGAAAGACAUGAAAGAUGUUUCAAGCAGAGAUUGCAAGAAAGACAGGAAAGUGUUUGAGAAAGGAGGGGGAUGUGAUUACUCUUGAAGAUGAUGAUCAGACAGGUUCGAGCUCCCUCUUUUAUCAUUGUGAAUUCUGAACAAUUUCCAUAGGUUCACAUGGAUUUCUUUAGGGUCUGUAUUGGUGCAGCUAAAGUUGGAAGCAAGGUCAUAAAUGUAGUGCCUGUGAAAGAAGUAUAGUGAAAUAUAACUGUGUUUGAUAUUCACUUUUAGUCUCACUUAUUUUUUAAAAUAUUAUUACAAAAAUGUCAAAGGAUAAAACAAGCAAUUACUGAGUUUAGUCCCAUCACAUAGUCUGCAUGUCAUUCAAUAAUCAACUCAAAUCAGGGAUAUAUUAUGAACAAUCAGAGCUGGGCCUGAUAGCAUCCUGACCCGAAUUUGUAUCUGACUGUGUGCCUGCCUGUGUAAUUGAAAAAUUAUCCCCAGUCUGAUUAUUAAUCCAUACAUUGUUACAGUUUUGUAGAAGUGGCCUGUAAUGAGAUGAAGAUUUUAAAAUAGCAUUACCACUGCUGGUGUCUGUGAAAAAGUCAUAACCAUUAAUGAAAUUUUUGUUUCCCAGCUAUUGAUUGCUACCAUCUUCAUAUUUAAAUUCACCUCCUGUAUGGUGAAACGGUCCAGGGCACUUUCCUGGGAACAGUUUACCAUCUUUCAGCUGAAUGAUGGGGACAAAACCUGAAGGGUGGUGUCUUUGUAAGCUUUCCUAGCUGUUUUAAAAGCAAAUAAUGUGUGCAGAUUGAGUUUGAGUGUGUCUUCCUCAAUAUCUUCCACCUGUGCAAGGCUGAAAGAGAAAAUUCAUACUCCCUACAUUCAGUAGCCACUGGCCAACAGUCCAAGUCUGAGCUAAGCUUGCAAAGUAGCUUUGGCCUGAGGGUUAAAGAAGGCAAACAAUUGUCUUCCUGCAAUCACAUAUGCAGGGAACAACACACUGUUGUUAAGACUUCUCCCUGUUCUGGUAACCACCAUGUUCUUCAGGCUCAAUCCACGUAGAGUGAGAUGACUGUGACAUGCUACAUGUCACAAGGUGCAGUUUCACAUCCUGUCCAUAGGAAAACAUAUUUCAGUCAACAGGCUUCCAGUGAAUAAGUGUUGGAGACCAAUAACCAUGAAGUAUUAUAGAUUGAUACUGCCUGAUUUGGUGAUGGUAUCUAUCUGAUACCAUCAGGAUUCCAUCCAUCAUUAUUAUUGCCAUUAAUAAAGACUAGAAAAAUUGUUAAUAUUGUCAUAUAAACCAAUGAUAAAGGACACGACUGUUUUGAUUAGAGAUAGUACUGGUACAUUCAUACAUCACUUAAAUCCCAGUACUUUGUAUUGUAGCAGACAAGUGGAUGGGGCCAGGCUCUUUUCAGAGCAAGGGGCAAUGGGCACAAUCUGGAACAUAAUAAGUUCCAUGUGAACGUGAGGGAAAACUUCUUAACUGUGAGAAUUACAGAGCAUUGGAACAGGCUGUCCAGAGAAGUUGUGGAGUCUCCCUCUAUAGAGAUAUUUGGAACCUGCCUGGAUGCCUUCUUGUGUAACCUGUCCUGGGGAACCUACUUUAGCAGGGGACUGGAUGAGAUGAUCUCCAGAGAUCCCUUCCAAUCUCUACAAAUCUUUGAUUCUGUGAUUCUGUGAUAUAAAGAUGUUUGUCAAGUUACAGAAGCAGGGAACAUAUGCAAACCAUUUUACAAGAGUGAAAUCUAAGGAAUUACCCAAGGACACAGGAAUUUUGUGAGGUAAUAUUUAUAAAUGUCGCAGGUGCUGUGGUAAUUGUAAAUUGACAGCCUUACAUCAUGCUUCUCUAAUUGGCUUCAGAUUCUGGUUUCCACACAGUAAUCUUAAUGUUAAUAAUUUCACAUCCUGCAGAAAGAAACUUCUUUUAAUU